UCCAUUCGCUGCUUGGUGCUUUUUGCAGUCGUUGCAAGCCUACUGGCCCAAUGUAGGCUUUGGGUGGUGCGUGUUUUUGCAGACGUCCAUUCUUCCAAAAUAGCAACGUCAAAGCCAAAUCAGGGGUGUUGAGACCGCGUCCCAGUAUCAUUGCUAUCGGCCCUCCUGCUCACUCAGAACUUAUUCUCCCUGCUACAAUUUGUAUGAAAAUUAUUUUUGUUUCCCUACCCAGAUAAAAAAUGAGAAAGAAUAAUGCUCCUAAGAUGCUUCAACACACAAGUUUUAUUUCAAAAUUUGUGACGUGCUAACAGCAACCAACCACAGCUCCCUGAUGCAAUUUACAGCACUCAGGCAGACAGAGGAAAUAAUCAGAGUUAUUGCGCAGCCAUCCUUCAGCACACGUGAGCCACACACAGGGCUCGUGCAUCCUUCCUGCAGCAGGGACCAAACAGCCUGCUCGGCCUACGGCCUGGGGUGAUCCUUGACAUUUGAGGAAGGCAUUCCUAUGAGAAUAAUUCUGGAAAAAAAACUCCUUUUUGCCAUCCAUAUACAACUAUCAAUAGCAUACCCGUGAGUGAUCAGUGGAAAAUGACACAAACACAGUGUGCUCGGAGCCUGGGCACGCCCCUGUCCGAAUCACCCCAGCAAACGGGGCCACGAGCCCCCUUCGCUUCAGCGCAAAGGCACCAGGAAGGUCUCUGCUGAGUGGGCAUACAAGUUUCAUUUCAUUUCUGACUUUCUGGGCAUUGCGCACACUGCUCACCUCCAGGAUGUGCUCCUACAUUUUUACUUUAAGGAAAGACACACACGUUUUUCAUCUCUCCCCAAGGAAGUAAAGAACAGAGAUCUGAGAGCGUGACACAGUCUCGCUAGAGGGCAUCCAGUUACUAACAUCUAAGAUGAGUGAUGCUGAUUUCCCUCCUCUGUGGGUUUUAAUGACGAUCAAAAGUAGGCUAACAAACACCAUCCAGCUGGGGCUUGAAAUAUGUGGUUGGAUACUUUUUUUUAAAAAAAAGAGAACACAACAGUUUUCACACAAGUGCAGUACAAAAUACUGUAAUUAUUAGCUGGUUGUUCAGAGCUAAACCCCCAAACCACACUUUCUGAAACUCCCACUCUGUAUCAAUAGUUACAGACAUGCUCUUAGGGGAGCAGGGAACUGAACUUGCCUUUCACACAGUCCCCCCGAGUGCUCUGCCCACUACUCUCUGUAAGCUCAUUUUCUCUUUUGGGGAAUACUGCUCUCAAAUGGAACCGCUUCAAGCGGAGAGACAGAGACAGAUCCAUUGUGGGAUGCUUGUGGCCUCCUCCUGGGAUGUAGGAAAGUUGGAAUGACAGUUUUGCUUCGAGUCAAGAAGAACAAGGAUUUGAGAAUUAGACUCUUGCCCCAAGCUUUCAUUUCAGAACUGACAUUUGCAUUUUAUGGAUGAGUAAUUCGGGGGGAAAAUGCACACUAAAAGGUUGCCGAAGAGAGGAAGAAGAUCUUGUGCUGAUGAUAACUUCUUCCAAAUAUUUAACUUCUAGGAUGUAAAAGCAGAUUUUUUCCAGCACAGAAAUUCUUCCUGCAUAUUUCUGAUAUGGAACAAUAGUCCAGCGGAUCCUGUAAAUCUUUCUUUUCCUAAUGUAAGAUUGUCCAGACUAAAUAUUAGACAGGGCUCUGCCUCUCACGUGCCCUUCCAGCAAAGCCUUUCCUCCUUCAUUUUUUAAUCAGAAAAGGAUUACAUUUGGGAAACUGCAAGAGGACCCCUUUCUUAGUCAGCUUUGACCAACUCUUCAAGACACAAGACUGAGUCCUGUAACACCCCUCCAUAUCCCAUAGUUUUAAAGAUCCUCCUCCUUCUAGUAGAAGCUAUACCUUUUGCUCUUUAGGCCUUGGCUUACCUCUGAAAAAAUAAUUCUUAAUGGGAGUUGGCUAACUCAAAAUGAAAUCCUAGUGAAGAUAAGACAGGGGAUGGUUUUCCCCUAAGCUAGCAUUAGUGUCUUUGGAGUGGCGAAAUGAUAAUAUCAAAUGGUUGCACAGUAUUUUCAUGCUUCAUGACUUCUGAUGGAUACAAAUAUGCAGCUAGCCUCUGUGCAGCGUGAAUCAGUAGAAUUGCGUAGCCCAAACCCAUCUGACAUCCUUAGCUGCCCACACCAGUCCCCUGACCGUUAAGCACCCCGGACUUGUAUUCUGCUCCCAGGUAUUAAGCAGGAGCCCAGCCUCAAGCUUCUGCACCCUGCUGCAGCUGACAUGACAAAAUCUGCUUUGGCCCUGACCGUGUUUGCCCCAGGCCGGUAACAUUGCGAGCAAAAACCUCCUCAGUCAUCUCCAGACGCUUUUGCAGCCUAUCCACUGGCACUGGGCAAUUCCACUGCUGCUUAGAAAGAGCAUCUUAAUCGAAGAUAGCUGAAGCAAAGGCAAACGGCCACCUCGUCACUCACAGAACCACACAGAUAACAGAUCUCAGCAAAAUGUCACUGAAGAUAAAGUCCGGGGUUUUCAGAGCAGCGCUUCUGAAGAGGUGCUUGGAGAUUGUGGCCGCCAAGAAAAGAAUAGACAGAUAGUCUGCAGAACGGGAGAUUUCUGACGGUGAAGUCCUAUUGGGGUUUUUUUGGGACAGUUACAUAUAAGACACCAAAGGAAUGGCUCAGAACUACUAUCCCCACCUACAGUGUUUCUUUUCCUCUUCAUUUACGGUAACAAUGUUCAGGCAACAGUUUGGUUUUUUCAGUUCCCACUUACUAUUCAUUGUGAAACUUGGUAAGAUUGGCCAUGUUUUAAUGUGACUCCACAAGUAUACAGAUAAACACAUUUUUCUUCAACAGCUUCCCUCUAUUUACAAACCUAUCGCAUUGUUUGGGUCAUUCCUUAAGGCACAUAGCAUGGUUGGCAUCAUUCUGUCCUAAACCUUCUGCUAUUGCUCUCAUUUUAUUACUAUGUAUAGAAAACAUACACAAGUGUUUUCUGAUACUUUGCCGAACGGCUUAAACACUGAGUAUCAAAACUGAUUGCAGAAAUCAUCCCUGGUACUGCAGGUGACUUAGUGACAGGCAUGAUUUGGAGCAAAGGGCAGAUCUGUAGGAACAAAUACUAAAGUAAAACUCCAUGUGACAAAAGCAGCAGCAGCACAGCAAACUACAAAGAUCAAGUUACAAUCUGAAGUAUUGCAGAGUUUUUAAUGGAAGUAAUUAGCUUGAAAUCAAAGUUUCUACCUUAAACCAGAUUAUAUCUGCAAAGGAAAGGGAUUCGUUCGGUUAUGCUACAGAACCUUUCCAAAUUGUACUGCACUGCUGCUAUUCCUUUUACUUAGUAGCUGCAAAAUAAUUUGUUUUAGGUUAUCUAGGACUUAAGUUCACAGAAGAACACAUUUAAGUUGACUUCACAGUCAUCAAAGUUUAGUGGCUUUAUUGAAUUCAACUGAGAACCGCAUGGAAUAUCUGAGACCGAGGCUGAUAAGCGAAACUUGACCUUCUACAAUACCAGCCAAGUAAAAACCCCUCUUAAUGUCACUUCCAGCUGCAGCAGAUAGAUAUCGUUUUUAAAGCAACCUUGAACAAGAAUUUUUGAUGUCUGACAACUUUUUCAAUAUCCGGGAAUUAUCCAGUGCUGGAAAACUUUCCAGUGGCUGAACGUUGCUUUGGUAGUCAAGAUUGUCUUUGACGAUGGUUAAGGACAAAUUUACAAAGUAUCUCUCUCUAUACUGAGGAGCAAAUUUUAUCCUCAGAAAAUCAAGUGUGUGAGCAAGUCAGAUUUUGAAUAACAAUCUACUGUAUGGGAUUGCAAAUUGUAAAACGGUACAAGAGAGAGAAGAUCAGCCUACAUUUCUAUAUUAUAACUUCAUUAAAAGAAGAUAUUCUUAAAAACUCCCAUUAUGCGGUCUUGUUCUUAACUGUUUUUUUUAAAACGCUGCCUUACUGCUCACAUGCUUGAUAUUCUCGGUGGUAGUUCCA